GAUGAACGCUGGCGGCGUGCUUAACACAUGCAAGUCGAACGGAAAGGCUCCUGCUUGCAGGGGUAUUCGAGUGGCGAACGGGUGAGUAACACGUGGGUGAUCUGCCCUGCACUUCGGGAUAAGCCUGGGAAACUGGGUCUAAUACCGGAUAGGACGAUGGUUUGGAUGCCAUUGUGGAAAGUUUUUCGGUGUGGGAUGAGCUCGCGGCCUAUCAGCUUGUUGGUGGGGUAAUGGCCUACCAAGGCGUCGACGGGUAGCCGGCCUGAGAGGGUGUACGGCCACAUUGGGACUGAGAUACGGCCCAGACUCCUACGGGAGGCAGCAGUGGGGAAUAUUGCACAAUGGGCGCAAGCCUGAUGCAGCGACGCCGCGUGGGGGAUGACGGCCUUCGGGUUGUAAACUCCUUUCGCUAGGGACGAAGCGUUUUGUGACGGUACCUGGAGAAGAAGCACCGGCUAACUACGUG
rnacentral:rRNA from 1 species